CACGUAGGGCGCAAGCGUUGUCCGGAAUUAUUGGGCGUAAAGAGCUCGUAGGCGGUCUGUUACGUCUGCUGUGAAAACCCGGGGCUUAACCCUGGGCUUGCAGUGGAUACGGGCAGACUAGAGGCAGGUAGGGGAGAAUGGAAUUCCCGGUGUAGCGGUGAAAUGCGCAGAUAUCGGGAGGAACACCAGUAGCGAAGGCGGUUAGCUGGGCAGUUGCUGACACUGAGGCGCGACAGCGUGGGGAGCAAACAGG
rnacentral:rRNA from 1 species